CGAACGCUGGCGGCGUGCCUAAUACAUGCAAGUCGAGCGGACUGAUUAAGAGCUUGCUCUUAUGACGUUAGCGGCGGACGGGUGAGUAACACGUGGGCAACCUGCCCUGUAGAUCGGGAUAACACCGAGAAAUCGGUGCUAAUACCGGGUAAUAUCUGAGAUCACAUGAUCUUAGGUUAAAAGAUGGCUCCGGCUAUCACUACAGGAUGGGCCCGCGGCGCAUUAGCUAGUUGGUAAGGUAAUGGCUUACCAAGGCGACGAUGCGUAGCCGACCUGAGAGGGUGACCGGCCACACUGGGACUGAGACACGGCCCAGACUCCUACGGGAGGCAGCAGUAGGGAAUCUUCCGCAAUGGACGAAAGUCUGACGGAGCAACGCCGCGUGAGUGAUGAAGGGUUUCGGCUCGUAAAGCUCUGUUGUUAGGGAAGAAACAGUACCGAACGAACUAGGUCGGUACCUUGACGGUACCUAACCAGAAAGCCACGGCUAACUACGUG
rnacentral:rRNA from 1 species